rnacentral:rRNA from 1 species
GACGAACGCUGGCGGCGUGCUUAACACAUGCAAGUCGAACGGAAAGGCUCCAGCUUGCUGGAGUACUCGAGUGGCGAACGGGUGAGGAACACGUGGGUAAUCUGCCCUGCACUCUGGGAUAAGCCUGGGAAACUGGGUCUAAUACUGGAUAUGACCUUUCUCCUUAUGGGGUUUGGUGGAAAGUUUUUCGGUGUAGGAUGAGCCCGCGGCCUAUCAGCUUGUUGGGGGGGUGAUGGCCUACCAAGGCGACGACGGGUAGCCGGCCUGGGAGGGUGAUCGGCCACAUUGGGACUGAGAUACGGCCCAGACUCCUACGGGAGGCAGCAGUGGGGAAUAUUGCACAAUGGGCGGAAGCCUGAUGCAGCGACGCCGCGUGAGGGAUGACGGCCUUCGGGUUGUAAACCUCUUUCAGCAGGGACGAAGCGUAAGUGACGGUACCUGCAGAAGAAGCACCGGCUAACUAUGUG